rnacentral:lncRNA from 1 species
ACUGGAAUGCCGGAGAAAGCGAUUCAUCAAAAGCAAAAAUGGGAUUCAGUCGCAUCGAUAUGACAUGCAACGACGCUGAGGAUGUGUGUCAACACUGUGUCAUAAUGCCCCUCUUUGGACACGAGUUCUUAAUGGUUACCGAAUACACGAAGGAUCCUUACAAACUCCAGGUCAGUAUCCGAGAAGGAAGACAAUCCAGAGACUGGACCUUUUCUCAAGACGACCUAGCUGGAAAGUA